AGAUAUUUCAUAGCUCAACAUUUCAAAUUGACAACUGAAUAGUAAUGAUGACCAUUACUUAAAAUCAAUCAGUUGAAACAACUCUAGAAAAGCAAUUGGCUUUUUAAAUUUAUGAUAGCUGAUGUUGUUUCACUUGUCCAAUCUUUGGUCCUUUUUUGUAAUCAUGAACGCAAUUUUUAUUAUUCAUUUGUUACGAAAUGAUAUGUUCAUAAACAAAUAAAAACUAUAGGUAAUAAAACAAGUGACUACCAUUGUUUGUUGUUAAAUUUAAACUGUACCUUUUGAUCUAUGAUCUGAUCCUUGUUAAAAAAUCUACCUUUACCAUAAAAUCAUUACUUUAUUUCAAUAUUGGUUCAACAAUUGUAAUAGAACAAUCUAAAAAUCUUUUUUUCCUAACAUAAAUACUUAUAAAACAGAAUUAGUUGGAAUAUCAUCUUUUCUAAUAUUUAUUUAAUUAUAGGAAAUAAACAGUAGUAAGGGCACUUUUCCAACUAAUUUUCCUUCCAUAUAUAUUUAUAUUUUGAAAAUAAAACGCGUUAUGUUGAUUAACAUGCCAUGAUAAAGUCUUGUAAUUAAGGAGAAUGGUGGAUGGUCGUUUUUACAGUAAAAGAAAACUUUUUUCUUUUUAUUCUGACUUUUAAUCAACAGUUGAAAAAGAGGGAAGUGCUUGAUACAUAAUUAAUAGUUGUAUAAAAUGAAUUGCACUUAUUUAAUUUAAUUUAUGUUACUAACAUUACAUUCUAAUAUAUUUUAUUGCUUUAACGAUUUUUAUAAUUACUGUAACGUCCAUGUUUCGUCCUUAUUUAGGGAACAUCUUCAUAGCUUGGUGGUUUCUUGUAAAAGGCAAAAAUAAUAUACUAACGUCGCUUUUAAUAAGUACAGAUAUGAACACAAACAAUUUAGGCAGUGAUAUAUAUCUAAACAAAACACU